rnacentral:piRNA from 1 species
UCACAGUGACUGACUCACCUGUGAGACGA